rnacentral:lncRNA from 1 species
AAUGUUGUCCAAGUCGUGACCGACAUGUUGGAAGUAUGCCCACAAAGCCACUCAUUUGAUGUAAUAGCUUUUGGAAUACUUAAUGUAUUAAACUAUUAAAUGUUUAAUGAAGGGCAAAGCUUAUUGUUAAUCACUAUUUAUUGUAUCAUGUGUUUAAGCAAUAAGAGAAUCCAAGGAAUGUAUUUGAUCUAAGAGAGAAGUGAUUUAAGUAAGUUAG